AUAUGUAGGUGAUUCUCAAAUUCGAAGAACUAUUAAAUACAAUGUUUAUUUCAAAGAAAAUAUCUGUAGAUAAGUAGACUAGUAAGAGUGAAGGUAAAAAGUCAAAAAAAUCUGAUUCGAGUUUAAGUAUUCAUUCACCGAUUAAGAAAAGGUGCAAAGGUCGUUCACCAACUAGGAGAAAGCAGUCAAAGGUUGAUACAGUUGUUAAGUGUCUGAAGAAAAAGUCCAAAAAGGGUGGGAAAAAGAAUUGCAUACAGUCGGAUCUGAAUGAUUUAAGUGAAGAGCUUUUAACUUUUUUGCCAGAGGAUGGGCCAAAUCACUUGACAAAUUUGAGACAGCAGACACCUGAUGAUGCUGGUGGUAAUGGCAAUAUAGCUUUAAUCCAAGAAGUCAAUGAUGAUAAUGUUUUGAAAGUUGUUGCCGGACUGACUUCUGAAUCUGCAAUAGAUAGCAGAACAACAAGACCACUU